rnacentral:rRNA from 1 species
AAUCAUCGAAUCUUUGAACGCACAUUGCGCCCCCUGGUAUUCCGGGGGGCAUGCCCGUUCGAGCGUCA